AUGCACCUCCUGCAAGAAGAGUGAGUGGGGGCCCUUCCUUGGGAAGCUGGGCUGGCUGAGUCAGAGGAGCCACUCAGAGCUCAGCAGGCAGGAGGGGGCCAAUGAGCGUCUUCAUCCCCGUCCCUCAGCACCUGAUUCAGAAACAGAGGGCUAAAAGAGCCAUAGAGAAGGGAGAGUCCCAACCUCUCAUUACAGAACUGUGAUCCCGAGGCCUGGAGAGGUCACCUACUUGUGUCAGGGUCUGAGUCAGAUUCUGAACGUAGGCCUUGCUUCUUGAAACAGCUUUCUCCAUAUACCCAGGUCCUGAUGUACUCGGCCCACAGGAUCUUGGGGUUUCUGACCGGCUGGGUCAGGCUUUUCCUGUAGUCAUCCUAGCGCUUCCCUGGCCCUCGCCAGAGCUGCUUUGUCAGGGGUUUGCCCUGUCUUGAGUGUUCUCAUUUCAUUGUAGAGUUCGGGAGACUUGGCUUUCCUUUACCACCCAGAGACCCAUGCCCUGCCUUUCCAGGCUCUCUGUCGUGUCGUCCUGAACUAAGGGUCCUGUGGGCUGGGGGCUAAGUCUGCUCUGACCUCUCAUUCUCCCCUUUGCUCCCCAGGCUGCUGCUCCUGCUGCCCCGUGGGCUGUGCCAAGUGUGCCCAGGG
rnacentral:lncRNA from 1 species